rnacentral:rRNA from 1 species
GUGCCAGCCGCCGCGGUAAUACGGGAGGGUCCGAGCGUUAAUCGGAAUUACUGGGCGUAAAGCGUGCGCAGGCGGUUUGUUAAGCGAGAUGUGAAAGCCCUGGGCUCAACCUAGGAAUAGCAUUUCGAACUGGCGAACUAGAGUCUUGUAGAGGGGGGUAGAAUUCCAGGUGUAGCGGUGAAAUGCGUAGAGAUCUGGAGGAAUACCGGUGGCGAAGGCGGCCCCCUGGACAAAGACUGACGCUCAUGCACGAAAGCGUGGGGAGCAAACAGGAUUAGAUACCCUGGUAGUCCACGCCGUAAACGAUGUCUACUCGGAGUUUGGUGUCUUGAACACUGGGCUCUCAAGCUAACGCAUUAAGUAGACCGCCUGGGGAGUACGGCCGCAAGGUUAAAACUCAAAUGAAUUGACGGGGGCCCGCACAAGCGGUGGAGCAUGUGGUUUAAUUCGAUGCAACGCGAAGAACCUUACCUACUCUUGACAUCCACGGGAAGACUGCAGAGAUGCGGUUGUGCCUUCGGGAAC